CCUCCUUCACCUCCUAUUACUACCCCUACUUGGAGACAAAGCUAUCAUAGGUGUGUGUGCUCUGAAGUCUGAGGACCUCUGAGGGUAGAGAACUAGUAAUGGUGACAGGUAGGGACAUUUUUCAGAGCCUCUGGAUUGGCUCAAAAAGGAGGAAAAAGUAGUCUGUAAAUUUCUGAGUUAAUCAAAGGUAAGCUUGGGAGAGCUCAUUUAGCUGUAGUAUAAGUAAUACAUUUCAGUGUGUGAUACCCUUUGUCCAAAGCUACCUGGAAUGCACCUGUAUGCCAUGCCUAUUGGGCUGCUUCCCUUUGGGAUCCCCCCCCCCCACUUUGGCAAAUCUUAGUUGUGCAAAUCCCACUGAUACCUCCUUCUUGUGCUUUAUGCAACCACCAGGUUUAGCAGCCAUUAACAAUGAUAACAACAGAUGUGAUGUGAAUCUCUUCAGCAUUCUGGAGCAGGGCUGAACGUGUGGUCCUUCAGGUGGGACUACAAAUAACAUCAUUCCUGGAUAUCAGCCAUGCUGAUUGAGGCAGGUGGAAACUAGAGCCCAAUAACGUAUGAGGAAGAGCUUCACAGUGUACAUUCCUGUUACAGUGGUUAGGCCAAGUAGGUUUCAGAGUUUACCUCCUCUCCACAGCCCUAUUACAAUCUCCAAUUUGAGGUUGCCACUGGUUUACUAGCCCAAAACAGCUGACAUUUAUGAAUAUUGUUGAUAUUUUAUUUUUAAGCAAGGGGAUGGGAAUGCAGACACACACGGGCCCCUCCUCAAAGUGCAGAAGGCACAGAUCCAUGAGAAACAAACAUCCCACCCAGGCCCUUCUUAUUCAGAAAUGAUCUGGUGGUUGUUCACUCCCAGUCCAAAAUGUGUGAGUAGCUCCCCACUGCCCAAUGGGUUUUAAACCCCCUUUGCCACUCAAGACAUCUAUAGAGAGAAUGGUUUUAAAGUAUACUUCAAACCUGUCUAAUCACAGGGACAAAGGCACUCUGGGAAGUGUCAUUCUGGCCUAGGCGGUGGGUGGUAUGAAAAUUGACUCUCAGAAAACCACAGCACCAUUUUGCAGGGGCAAGGGCAAAACAAAACAAAACAAGACAAGACCAUGAGGCUAAGCCAGUAACUCAUCAUCAUCAUCAUAAAUUUUAUUGCACUAGCCAAAGGCUAGUUCAAAAAGGACACAAACAAAAACAAAAAGGAAUUCAAAAAGGAAACAAAAACAAAAACAACAGUAACCAUAAAAACACCAGGCACUACAAAUACAAUAAACUACGGUCACGUCUCCUAGAAAUUAUUUGUUGCAUACGAUAGAAUAGCAGGGGGUUCUCAGAUAGAAUGUGCCAGCUUAAAUGUCCGAAUCACCUUUGCAAUUGACCACUAUUUUAUCUAGUUCUUUUCUCCUGAUCUUCUUAGCUGCCAACGCAUAUAGUGCUACUUUCUAAGUUACAAAGUCAUCAGUAUCACUCAGCAGCCAUUUCACCCUUUCCACCCUGUUCAAGUGUGUUCCAUUCGUAAGCAGGGGUUUUAUAAAUCUGUCUCUUGGUUCUAUAUAUAGCAGGCAAUGCAAUAAAUAGUGGUAUAGGUCCUCUACACAUGUUUGCCCACACAGACAGAGUCUCUCCUUGUACUGUACUUUGCUGUACCAACCAUCCACCGCCACCAAGGUCAUCGAUUGUAAUUGUAAUUCUGUAAAAGCGAUUCUUAAUAUGGCAAGUGGGAGCUUUGUUAGAUAACUAGCUCGGCUGUGCUCCAUUUUGAUAAGUGGGAACCAUGGUGAACUUUUGGUAGAGACAAUCAUGUUUAAAUCCCUUUCUGCAUCGGACCAGGAGAGACAAUCUCUUAAGUGCCUCUUAUCCAUCUUCAUGACCACCUGAAGAUAUUGUAAUCGAUAUUGGGCCAAGAGGCGUUGGAUGCCAUCCUUCCAACAUUUGGUCUGUUCCCAUUCUGUGUGGGACAUAGAAGGGAAUCUCUCCUCCGAGAGAGAUUGAAGUCUUUUCACAUAGUUUAGACAUAGAUAGUCAGUUCUAGCCCGUAUUGUUGUCAUGUCCGCUUCCAAGCAGAGAAGAGCAGCUGGGGUCCCACUGGGGAGCGAGGACACUUUCCUGAGCAAUUUGUUCUAAGUCUUUGUUAGCAUUUGGAUCCAUGCCCCAUAUUGCUACUCCAUAGAGCAUCUGGGAAAUAAUUCAUACUGUAGGUGUUGCACCUGCACAUUCCAACAGCAGUCUGCACAUGGCACCAACCUCACACUCAAAAGAGGGGCCAGUACCCCAGUAACAGAGCACCUACACUCUGCUCCAACCAAGGAGUUUUUUUCCAGUGAGUCUGGGUCUUGCUCCAAGGCCAGCUGGAGAAGGUCUUGCAGCAGGGAGCAGUUCCUUCAGCCUUCACUGCAGCAGAUCUCACCAUUAAGGGCCUUAUGUUAAGUCCUGCUGAUUUCAUAGCAUCAUCUUGGCUAUAUUGCUCUGAGGAGUAAGUGGUAGGACUGCAUAGCUUGAAAAAUGACAGAAAGACUGGAAGACAGACUAACUGACUGACUCUCACACCUGCAUGCAGCUAUAUAAGGAGGGCUCAGAUAGCCUGGAACCUUCUGGUCAACAAUGAUUACUAAUAAGAAAGGACUGCUGAGUCACUACAGGAUGCUGAGUCACUACAGUGGUACCUCAGGUUAAGAACUUAAUUGGUUCCGGAAGUCCGUACUUAACCUGAAGCGUAUUUAACCUGAAGCGGACUUUCCCAUUGAAAGUAAUGGAAAGUGGAUUGAUCCGUUCCAGACGAUGAAAAACACCCCCUAAAACAGCAAUUUAACAUGAAUUUUACUGUCUAAGGAGACCACUGAACCAUAAAAUGAAGGCAAUAAUCAACGUACUGUACUAUAAAAUAAAUAAGACAGUAUUUUAGAUGAAAAAAAUUAACAUUUUUUUUUUCCUUUCGUGCACUGAUGAUAGUCAGUUUGGAUUGGGGGGGGGGCUUUUAUCCAUUUCUGCAGCCACACAAUCAAUCACUAGCUGAACUGGGUUCCACACAGGCACAAAAACAAGUCACAAAAAUGAAGUCACAAGCCACAGUCACAAAAGCAAAGUCACAAGUCAGUCCCAUAAAAUGAAGAACAAGUCACAGUCCAAAAACCAAAAAAGCCACAGAAACCAAAAUGCAAAAAAAUAGCAAAAACAAAACCUCCAAAUAUAACUUCUGUGUUGCGUGGGUGCUCAGGACUCAACAGCUGGCAGACUCAACAGGAAGCCUCUGAUUAGCAGCGAAACACUCAACAGGAACCAGACGAUGAAAAGCGACCCCUAAAACAACAAUUUUACAUGAAUUUUACUAUCUAACAAAGCCAUUGAUCCAUAAAAUGAAAUCAAUAAAACAGUACAAAAUGAAAAUGUGAUUUUUUUCUUACCUGUGCUGAUGAUAGUCACUGUUGGACGGGGGCUCAGGGUCCUCUUCCACAGUCACAAUCGGUGAUUUCUCUCCUGCCAUUCCUUCCCUUGCCUUUUUUACACCACUGCCACCAGGUUCAGACUCACUGGAUCUUUUCCUUACCAAAAAUUUUUUGAUUGAGACUUGCUUUUGUCAUUGUUUAAAGAUUUGUCUAAAGUGAGAGAUUAUGUUAUCAUUGUAGGUGUUAGCAGCAUAAUUUAGAGUCGCUUUAUCCGGGUGAUAUUUUUCAGCAAUAGCUUGCACUUCAGCCCGUUUUGCAAGCAGUUCUUUGUUGCUGUGGGUGCAGUUUCUCUCCCCCCCCAAAUAUUUUUAUUAGUUUUUUCACAAACAUAAAUAAAACUUAAUCUUUUACAAUCAACAUUUUAUGUCAUCUUAUUUACACCGUGUAAGUUCACGCCCGGACUUCCUUCCUUCCCUGCUUCGGUUUUCUUAGUUUAUAUCUUCUCUUGCAGAUUCUUAUUUGCCUUCUAUACACAUCACAGGAUUUAUGUUAACCCUGCUACAGUUUUUAGACUUCUACAGUUAAUUCUUAUAUAUGCAACAAAUUUACCCCACUCUUCUUCAAACUUUGUCCCUUUUUGGUCUCGAAUUUUAUGUCAUUUUAGCUAAUUUUGUAUAUUCAAAGAGUUUGGUCUGCCACUCCAACACCGUUGGCAUCUCCUGUAAUUUCCAC